rnacentral:tRNA from 1 species
GCGGGGGUGGCGGAGCCUGGUCAAGCGAGGUAGCGGACUACACGCACGGGACUCAAGAUCCCGCUCCUUAGGGAUUCGUGGGUUCAAAUCCCACCCCCCGCA